GCUUGUCUCAAAGAUUAAGCCAUGCAUGUCUCAGUAUAAGCUUCUAUACGGCGAAACUGCGAAUGGCUCAUUAAAACAGUUAUAGUUUAUUUGGUGGUCAACUCUUACAUGGAUAACCGUGGUAAUUCUAGAGCUAAUACAUGCUGUUAAGCCUGACUUACGAAGGGCUGUAUUUAUUAGAUAACAGACCAAUAUUCCCUCGUGUCUAUUGUGGUGAAUCAUAGUAACUGAUCGGAUCGCAUGGGCGUGCCCGCGACAAACCAUUCAAGUUUCUGCCCCAUCAGCUUUCGAUGGUAGUGUAUUGGACUACCAUGGCUUUUACGGGUAACGGAGGAUUAGGGUUCGAUUCCGGAGAGGGAGCCUGAGAAACGGCUACCACAUCUAAGGAAGGCAGCAGG
rnacentral:rRNA from 1 species